AGUCAAUAUAUUUCAGAAAAUAAUCUACCUGCACCAUAGUCUGCUGUGCAUUACGUGAUUGGUCUGCUGAUGCGGUAGAUCUCGGACCUUCUGAGAGACUCAGAGCCCCGUUUGGGUCUCUG